rnacentral:rRNA from 1 species
CAUGAAGCCGGAAUUGCUAGUAAUGGCAGGUCAGCAUACUGCCGUGAAUACGUUCCCGGGCCUUGUACACGCCGCCCGUCACACCAUGAGAGUUGGGAAUACCCGAAGCCUGUGAGCUAACUUUUAGAGGCAGCAGUCGAAGGUAGAAUCAAUGAUUGGGGUGAAGUCGUAACAAGGUAAC